rnacentral:lncRNA from 1 species
UUUUCCAUUGCUCUUCUCAUAUUUCCAUUAAGCUUUUUAAAAGUUAUGGCAUGAGGGAAUGCUGAUAGUACUGUCUUUGUGUUGGGAACUUCCUAUGAUUCAGUGCUCACAACUAUGCUCAGCAAUAGGUCUUGUUUCCUCCCAUUUUCCAGAGGAAGAAAUUCCGAUUCAGAGGUUGAGGGAUUUGCACUGGUCUUCAGCUAAAACCCUCUGUAAGACAGCCCCAAGUUCAUGCUCUGCCUGCCACCUCUAGCUGAAGGCACUAGCCCCUGGUCAAGGCUUACCUCCCCUCAGCUUCCUCAGAGAGCUUUACUUGUCCCUCAAACUACUACAUCAGUUUUAUGAACAACACCAAAAGUAUGUGG